GUUAAAUAUAAAUUUUUUCUAGAGGCUUAUCUAAUUCCCUUUAUGCGGAUGAAAGACGAUAGAGAUAUUUUACACCAACAUUUUAAGCUAUAUUUGCUUCGUGUAGUGCAUGUAAUUCUUGAGGCUUAAGGGUAAAUGUGUAUGUAUAACCUCAUUUAUACAUUGAUGCGCAAGUAUAAAUUAUGUGUACAUAUGCAAUGCUUACCUGGCAUGAAAAUGCAUGGUGACAUGCUUGAAUCGUUGGUUCAACUACAUAGGGGAGAAAAAGGUUUUAUAACUUACUUCCUUUUUUCUUUUUCAUUUUCCUUUUCCUUUCGCUCUCAAACAGUCCACUUUCUUUGGGCGUACCUGUGAUUUGGUUAUUGAUGCAGCUAGUAGCGGAAAACAAUUCUUAACUGUUGGUACCAAAAAUAAAGCACAGUAGCAUGGGCUGCAAUAAAUGCCCUAGCUGUGCUUUGAGCCCUAAGCAAUAGUUUAUUAAUAUGGAUUAAAAACUUUUUUUCCUCGUUUUUGGAACCUAAUUUUUCCUAUGCCUUAAGUUUUGAUGACUCGCAGAUCAUAUUAGGUCAGCAGCAGCCCAUUAACAUUUAUGAAGUUAUCUCAUAGAGACUUAUGGCAGCAUGUUGUAUGAGUAGAAAGAACAAAAUACAUUGAGAUGUGAAUGGCAAUAUAAACCUCAUAAUCUCACAAAAUAAAAGUGGAAAACACGAGACGUGGGAAAGCAAAGAGACAUGUAAGUUCUUAGUUAAGUAACGGAAACAAGAAGCUUAUAAUUACAAAAUUCAGUUUCCGAACGCAACACGACUUCGCAAAAUAUAAAAUAAAAAUUCAAUUUCAAAUACUGAUUGACCUUUUGAUGCUCCUUGUAUUGUUUUUGGAGGCUGAACACUAGGUAAAUGCUUUCAUCUGUUUGUCUGAAUUUCAUUUUUACAUGACAUUUAAUUGCUUUCCAUGAUGUCCAAUAUUUGGUUAAUAAUUGCAGGUAUAGGUGCAGUAUUUUAUAUGUAUGCAAACCAUGUUGCUAAAAUUUUAUUGUGAUACAAGAGAUUUAUUUAUAUAGAAAGAGCUUGGGCACAGUUUCAAUGUUUGUGGAAUAGAUGAUUUGUUUUGUAUGGCGAGACUUGUUUUUAACUGAUGUUAACUCUUUGCUGCCAUACUCAGGUGAAACUGGUUCUGAGAUUGUUGCUCGAUUGAAGCGAGAUUUGGUUCCUACCAUACUUAGUGGUAUUAUGUACUGGCCUGGGUGUGAUUUUGUGACAUUUAAAUUCAUCCCUGUUAAUUUACAGGUGAGAUCAUAUGUCUGAUAAGAUGACUGUUGAAUUGAUUCUCAAUUUAUGAUUUCCUGGGAAUGAAAAUUGGAAAAUCUGUAUUUUUUUAUACAAAAAAUGGAAGGAUUGAUUUCACAUUGGAGAAAAAAUCGAAUAUUCAUCGAUCAAAUCAUUCACUCCAUAGUCUGAUAAUGCUUCUGAUAGGCAAUUGCAGAACUGUUAACUUGAAAAUAAUUACAUUUUAUUUCAUGCUCAGUAGAGAAGAUAAAUUUAAAGAUGUUUGUGCUUUUGUUAUUGCAGCCACUAGUGAGCAACGGAUUUUCAUAUCUGUGGACAGUAUACAUGACAUAUAUGGCCAGUUUAGAGAAAGUUAGCACGGUCUGAAUGCAUCUUCUCACCAUCUUCCCCUAUGAAUUCUCCCACCUUAUUGUUCCACGUGGGCAAUUACAUGGGAUCUCUUAGUAAUGCAAGAAGCAGAAGCCACGGGCUGCAGAAUUAUUGGCUAGUAUCCUUUCAACAAGAAGAUUAAUUUGCAAUCUUUUAAGUUCUUUGCAGAAACUACUAGGUGAAGGCUACAUGUGUUACAUCAGGUGGCUGGUUAUUUGUAACCCUCGUUAGUUCUCAUCAUUUUGUUGUAUUUUGUUUAUUUUUCAAAGCUCCAUAUCAACAUCCUCCUCCCUCUGGGUUGGCUGGUACGUGAAUACAUUCACCCGCUUUUGAGGUCUUAAUGUUUUACCUUUUUGUGAAUACUUCUCUCUCGUGUUCAAAGGCUUUAUAUCUCCCUCUUAAGUGAGCUUUGCAAUUGGUCAUAUGGUAAGGGUCGAAUGUUUAAUUGUCGGAUUUUUGCCACUUUGCCUGAUGAAUUUUACCACAUACAGUCACAUAAUCCUAUGUGAAAGUAGAUGAUUUGAUGAAAAAAAACUAACAGUAUUUUAAACAGUCCAAUGAUAGGAUGUCAUGUGGCAUUAUGUCAAUGAUUAUGACACUGUAAUGUGAUUGUUAAUUGUUCAGAC
rnacentral:lncRNA from 1 species